rnacentral:rRNA from 1 species
UACGGAGGGAGCUAGCGUUGUUCGGAUAUACUGGGCGUAAAGCGCACGUAGGCGGCGCCGUAAGUCAGGGGUGAAAUCCCGGAGUUCAACUCCGGAACUGCCCUUGAAACUGCAGUGCUAGAAUCUUGGAGAGGCGAGUGGAAUUCCGAGUGUAGAGGUGAAAUUCGUAGAUAUUCGGAAGAACACCAGUGGCGAAGGCGACUCGCUGGACAAGUAUUGACGCUGAGGUGCGAAAGCGUGGGGAGCAAACAGG